CCACAUCAACUAAAUUGAAAAUUUUACCCCUUUUCUAAAUCUAUAAAUAGAAGGGCUUGGCCCUUUGUUUUAUUCACCAACAAUAAGGCCUCCAAUUUUGAAAAAGACUUUGUUGUGGGAGGUUUUUUUUAAAGACCUCCGUAGUUAAAUUUUGGCAUCAAAUACAUAGGCAGUUUGUGGAACUCAUAUUUUUGAGAAUUGUUCAGCUAUUAAAUUUGUGUUCAGCAAUAUCGAGGUAAGUG
rnacentral:lncRNA from 1 species